rnacentral:hammerhead_ribozyme from 1 species
AUUCAGAUGAUGAGUCCCAAAUAGAACGAAACGUGCGUCCUGGAU